rnacentral:rRNA from 1 species
CGGAUUAGAUACCCUGGUAGUCUUGGCCAUAAACGAUGUUCACUAGGUGUCGGGGGGAUUCCUUCGGUGCCGCAGCUAACGCAUUAAGUGAACCGCCUGGGGACUACGGCCGCAAGGUUGAAACUCAAAGGAAUUGGCGGGGGCCCGCACAAGCGGUGGAGCAUGUGGCUUAAUUCGAUGCAACGCGAAGAACCUUACCAGGGCUUGACAUGCACCUGCAAGCGCCCCAAAAGGCGUCGCCUUCGAGGGUGGUGCACAGGUGGUGCAUGGCUGUCGUCAGCUCGUGUUGUGAAAUGUUGGGUUAAGUCCCGCAACGAGCGCAACCCUCAUGUUCUGUUACCAGCGGAUAAUGCCGGGGACUCGGAACAAACUGCCUCUGUAAAGAGGAGGAAGGUGGGGAUGACGUCAAGUCAUCAUGCCCCUUACGCCCUGGGCUGCACACAUGCUACAAUGGCCGGUACAAAGAGCUGCAAAGCCGCGAGGUGGAGCAAAUCUCAAAAAGCUGGUCUCAGUUCGGAUGGCAGGCUGCAACUCGCCUGCCUGAAGUCGGAAUCGCUAGUAACCGCCGGUCAGCAAUACGGCGGUGAAUACGUUCCCGGGCCUUGCACACACCGCCCGUCACGCCACGAAAGUCGGUCUUACCCGAAGUCAGUGCGCUAACCGCAAGGGAGCAGCUGCCGAAGGUAGGGCUGAUGAUUGGGACGAAGUCGUAACAAG